rnacentral:piRNA from 1 species
UCCCAGGAACGAGGACAUAAGAUGUACAUC